UCAAUAUUAAAAACCUAAAUUAUUAGUAGUUAAGUUCUUGAAAAUUAAUGGAGAUGGCGGUAUUUUAGUCUAUUCAGAGGAAUCUGUCCUGUAAUUGAUAUUCCACGAUUAAAUUUACUUGGGGUUUUAGUUUAUAUAUCGCUGUAGGUUGAAUAUUUCUAUAGGAACAAAAUAUUCAUAAUUUUUAUUGAAAGUAAAUCAAGUCAAGAUGUAGCUUAUCCCUAAGGAGAGAUGGAUUACAAUAUGGUUAAUAGUGGUUGGCUACUUGAAAAUUAGUUAUAAAAUGGAUUUGAAAGUAAUUUUUUACUAAUAUAUGGAAAAUGAUUAUAGCUCUAAAAUA
rnacentral:rRNA from 1 species